rnacentral:rRNA from 1 species
GUUGGAUAACUGACGUAAUUCUUGAGCUAAUACACGCUAUUUAUACCACAUUAGUGGUGCGUUUAUUUGAUUAAACCAUUAUAACGGUUGACUCAAAAUAUCCUUGCUGAUUUUGUUACUAAAACAUACCGUAUGUGUAUCUGGUUUAUCAACUUUCGAUGGUAGGGUAUUGGCCUACCAUGGUUGUGACGGAUAACGGAGAAUUAGGGUUCGACUCCGGAGAGGGAGCCUGAGAAACGGCUACCACAUCCAAGGAAGGCAGCAGGCGCGAAAAUUACCCAAUUUUAGUUCAAAGAGGUAGUGACGAAAAAUGACAACCAAAUAUUAUUAUUAAUAUUUGGAUUGAAAAUCUUCAAGUUUAAAUAACUUGUUGGUAAAGGUUUGGGCAAGUCUGGUGCCAGCAGCCGCGGUAAUACCAGCUUUCCAAGUGCAUAAAAUGAUUGUUGUGGUUAAAAAGCUCGAUGUUGGAUUAUAAAGAUUGUAUAAUGAGCAUCUUGGAUGUUUUAAUUUCAUUAUCAUCUUAUUAUUUUUAUUAUAUUCCUUUAAAAGAAUAUAAUAAACUGUUACUUUGAAUAAAUCAGAGGGUUUAAACCAGGCAUUUAUAUGCUUGUAUGGUCUAGCAUGGAAUAACACUAUAGAAAAAGUUAGUGUGGUUUCACUAAUCUUUUUCAUGAUUAAUAGGAACAAACGGGGGCAUUCGUAUCGCUACGUUAGAGGUGAAAUUCUUGGACCGUAGCGAGACGUCCUACUGCGAAAGCAUUUGCCAAGAAUGUUUUCAUUAAUCAAGAACGAAAGUUAGAGGUUCGAAGGCGAUCAGAUACCGCCCUAGUUCUAACCGUAAACUAUGCCUACUAGGUGUAUGAAUUAUUAGUUAUAAUAAUUUAUGCACCUUCUCCGAAACGAAAGUCUUUCGGUUCCGGGGGAAGUAUGGUUGCAAAGCUGAAACUUAAAGGAAUUGACGGAAGGGCACCACCAGGAGUGGAGCCUGCGGCUUAAUUUGACUCAACACGGGAAAACUCACCCGGGCCGGACACUAUAAGGAUUGACAGAUUGAUAGCUCUUUCAUGAUUUAGUGGUUGGUGGUGCAUGGCCGUUCUUAGUUCGUGGAUAUGAUUUGUCUGGUUGAUUCCGAUAACGAGCGAGACUUUUAUGUUAUAUUAAAUAAUAUUAUUGUUAAAUUUUAUGGUUUUAUAUAAUAUUUUAUUUUAAUAACAGAUUAAUAGUGUUUAACUAUUUGAGAGAGAGCAAUAACAGGUCUGUGA